CCGGAAAAGAGGAGUGGCGAACGGGUGAGUAACACGUGGGUAACCUGCCCAUCANAAGGGGAUAACACUUGGAAACAGGUGCUAAUACCGUAUAAGCAAUCAAAACCGCAGGGUUUUGAUUUGAAAGGCGCUUUCGGGUGUCGCUGAUGGAUGGACCCGCGGUGCAUUAGCUAGUUGGUGAGGUAACGGCUCACCAAGGCCACGAUGCAUAGCCGACCUGAGAGGGUGAUCGGCCACAUUGGGACUGAGACACGGNCCAAACUCCUACGGGAGGCAGCAGUAGGGAAUCUUCGGCAAUGGACGAAAGUCUGACCGAGCAACGCCGCGUGAGUGAAGAAGGUUUUCGGAUCGUAAAACUCUGUUGUUAGAGAAGAACAAGGAUGAGAGUAACUGUUCAUCCCUUGACGGUAUCUAACCAGAAAGCCACGGCUAACUACGUGCCAGCAGCCGCGGUAAUACGUAGGUGGCAAGCGUUGUCCGGAUUUAUUGGGCGUAAAGCGAGCGCA
rnacentral:rRNA from 1 species